AAAACGACUAAAAACAAAGCAGUCAUUUUGUCUGAGACGACAGACAGACAAUCAACUUCUCAAUCGAUAAAAUCUAAAAUAAGGGUUAACAGUUCCUUAAAAUCCGUUAAGUUUUGUUCAUCCAGCCAUUCAUCGACACUGGGUAAGUCACUGCCAAAGCCAUAUUCCAUCAACGAGGGAUAGGUGUGCCAAAAGAUGAUUGUCAAUUUCAGCAGAGAAAUGGUGAACAUUAAACUGAGACCUAAAGCGACUAAGACUUUCAUUGUACUUAUGAGCAUAGUAGGAGCGGAGCGGAGGGGAGCUGGAAACGGUUUUCUUUUGUUAUUAUCUAGCGAAGGUGAUUACCACUUGUAGGACACAAUCCCUCAAACCGAGUGUGCUGUGGCAGACCUCGGUAGACAGUUUGGCGACGGACGGAGCUAUGGAUUUAAAUGCACAACUUAAGGUUGACUGUCAAUUUGAUUGUCGGGGUGGUGGGUGGCACGCGAUUUCAUUCAUUAACAACAAAAACAAUUCGCAGCACAUUAAAGUCACACAUUUGCAAAACCGCUGUAAUUAUUCGACCACAUUAACUUGCAGAACAAAAGUCCAUUACUCAAACUUGAUUUUCUCAAAGACGCCAAGAAGGGGAUGAUGAUGAUAAAAAUGAUGGGGAGAAGCGAGCAACAUUGAUGCAGAUGGUUUUUGAUUUAAGCACUGAGUAGGUACAACCCACUCGGAUGUCGAUUUGUAAUCACACAUGUUUCUCACAUUAACUGGUAUUCAUUUUCCUUCCGUCCGCGUUACCGUUACCUUCAGCCACGAAUCUCGAUUUGUUUGUUUAUCUAUCUCUCGUUUGGGGGGC